UACGAGGGGGGCAAAUGUUGUUCGGAAUCACUGGGCGUAAAGGGCGCGUAGGCGGCCACCGCAAGUCGACUGUGGAAUCUCCGGGCUUAACCCGGAAAGGUCAGCCGAUACUGCGGGGCUAGAGUGCAGAAGGGGCAACUGGAAUUCUCGGUGUAGCGGUGAAAUGCGUAGAUAUCGAGAGGAACACCUGCGGCGAAGGCGGGUUGCUGGGCUGACACUGACGCUGAUGCGCGAAAGCUAGGGGAGCGAACGGG
rnacentral:rRNA from 1 species